rnacentral:rRNA from 1 species
UGAUGGCCUACCAAGGCGACGACGGGUACCCGCCUGAGAGGGCGACCGCCACACUGGGACUGAGACACGGCCCAGACUCCUACGGGAGGCAGCAGUGGGAAUAUUGCACAAUGGGCGAAAGCCUGAUGCAGCGACGCCGCCUGAGGGAUGAAGGCCUUCGGGUUGUAAACCUCUUUCAGCAGGGAAGAAGCGCAAGUGACGGUACCUGCAGAAGAAGCGCCGGCUAACUACGUGCCAGCAGCCGCGGUAAUACGUAGGGCGCAAGCGUUGUCCGGAAUUAUUGGGCGUAAAGAGCUCGUAGGCGGUUUGUCGCGUCUGGUGUGAAAACUCGAGGCUCAACCUCGAGCUUGCAUCGGGUACGGGCAGACUAGAGUGCGGUAGGGGAGACUGGAAUUCCUGGUGUAGCGGUGGAAUGCGCAGAUAUCAGGAGGAACACCGAUGGCGAAGGCAGGUCUCUGGGCCGCAACUGACGCUGAGGAGCGAAAGCAUGGGGAGCGAACAGGAUUAGAUACCCUGGUAGUCCAUGCCGUAAACGUUGGGCACUAGGUGUGGGGCUCAUUCCACGAGUUCCGUGCCGCAGCAAACGCAUUAAGUGCCCCGCCUGGGGAGUACGGCCGCAAGGCUAAAACUCAAAGGAAUUGACGGGGGCCCGCACAAGCGGCGGAGCAUGCGGAUUAAUUCGAUGCAACGCGAAGAACCUUACCAAGGCUUGACAUGCACGAGAAGCCACCAGAGAUGGUGGUCUCUUUGGACACUCGUGCACAGGUGGUGCAUGGUUGUCGUCAGCUCGUGUCGUGAGAUGUUGGGUUAAGUCCCGCAACGAGCGCAACCCUCGUCCCAUGUUGCCAGCGGGUUAUGCCGGGGACUCAUGGGAGACUGCCGGGGUCAACUCGGAGGAAGGUGGGGAUGACGUCAAAUCAUCAUGCCCCUUAUGUCUUGGGCUUCACGCAUGCUACAAUGGCCGGUACAAAGGGCUGCGAUACCGUAAGGUGGAGCGAAUCCCAAAAAGCCGGUCUCAGUUCGGAUUGGGGUCUGCAACUCGACCCCAUGAAGUCGGAGUCGCUAGUAAUCGCAGAUCAGCAACGCUGCGGUGAAUACGUUCCCGGGCCUUGUACACACCGCCCGUCAAGUCACGAAAGUCGGUAACACCCGAAGCCCAUGGCCCAACCGUUCGCGGGCGGAGUGGUUCGAAGGUGGACGCGU